rfam:Rattus norvegicus chromosome 9, whole genome shotgun sequence.
GGGGAAUUAGCUCAGUGGUAGAGCGCUUGCCUAGGAAGCGCAAGGCCCUGGGUUCGGUCCCCAGCCCCG